rnacentral:rRNA from 1 species
CCUACGGGCGGCAGCAGUGAGGAAUAUUGGUCAAUGGACGCAAGUCUGAACCAGCCAUGCCGCGUGCAGGAAGACGGCUCUAUGAGUUGUAAACUGCUUUUGUACGAGGGUAAACGCAGAUACGCGUAUCUGUCUGAAAGUAUCGUAUGAAUAAGGAUCGGCUAACUCCGUGCCAGCAGCCGCGGUAAUACGGAGGAUUCAAGCGUUAUCCGGAUUUAUUGGGUUUAAAGGGUGCGUAGGCGGUCGGUUAAGUUAGAGGUGAAAUUCCGAGGCUCAACUUCGGAAUUGCCGUUGAUACUGGUCGUCUUGAGAGUAGUUGAGGUAGGCGGAAUGUAUGGUGUAGCGGUGAAAUGCUUAGAGAUCAUACAGAACACCGAUUGCGAAGGCAGCUUACCAGGCUACUACUGACGUUGAGGCACGAAAGCGUGGGGAGCAAACAGGAUUAGAUACCCGGGUAGUC